rnacentral:rRNA from 1 species
UACGGAGGGGGCUAGCGUUGUUCGGAAUUACUGGGCGUAAAGCGCGCGUAGGCGGAUAUUUAAGUCAGGGGUGAAAUCCCGCAGCUCAACCGCGGAACUGCCUUCGAUACUGGGUAUCUUGAGUAUGGAAGAGGUAAGUGGAAUUCCUAGUGUAGAGGUGAAAUUCGUAGAUAUUCGGAGGAACACCAGUGGCGAAGGCGGCUUACUGGUCCAUUACUGACGCUGAGGUGCGAAAGCGUGGGGAGCAAACAGG